rnacentral:rRNA from 1 species
CCUACGGGAGGCAGCAGUGGGGAAUUUUGGACAAUGGGGGCAACCCUGAUCCAGCAAUGCCGCGUGAGUGAAGAAGGCCUUCGGGUUGUAAAGCUCUUUUGUCAGGGAAGAAACGGUGAUCUCUAAUACAGAUUACUAAUGACGGUACCUGAAGAAUAAGCACCGGCUAACUACGUGCCAGCAGCCGCGGUAAUACGUAGGGUGCAAGCGUUAAUCGGAAUUACUGGGCGUAAAGCGUGCGCAGGCGGUUAUAUAAGUCAGAUGUGAAAUCCCCGGGCUCAACCUGGGAACUGCAUUUGAGACUGUAUGGCUAGAGUGUGUCAGAGGGGGGUAGAAUUCCACGUGUAGCAGUGAAAUGCGUAGAUAUGUGGAGGAAUACCGAUGGCGAAGGCAGCCCCCUGGGAUAACACUGACGCUCAUGCACGAAAGCGUGGGGAGCAAACAGGAUUAGAUACCCUGGUAGUCCACGCCCUAAACGAUGUCUACUAGUUGUCGGGUCUUAAUUGACUUGGUAACGCAGCUAACGCGUGAGGUAGACCGCCGUGGGGGUGGUACGGUCGCGAGAGUUAAACGUUACGAAGAGUUAGUUAGNGNGNGAGNGCGACGACGACGACGAGGAGGAGGAGG